GUGAGUAUUUGUUGACUUUGAAUUAUG
rnacentral:piRNA from 1 species